UACGUAGGGCGCAAGCGUUGUCCGGAAUUAUUGGGCGUAAAGAGCUCGUAGGCGGUUUGUCGCGUCUGCUGUGAAAACCUAAGGCUCAACCUUGGGCUUGCAGUGGGUACGGGCAGACUAGAGUGCGGUAGGGGUGACUGGAAUUCCUGGUGUAGCGGUGGAAUGCGCAGAUAUCAGGAGGAACACCCGUGGCGAAGGCGGCUCUCUGGGACGGUACUGACGCUGAAGACGCGAAAAGCGUGGGGAGCAAACAGG
rnacentral:rRNA from 1 species